GAGGGCAUAACUGUACUUGUAAAUAUUUAAAUGAAUGAAUCACUAACUCAAAGGAGGGGCACCGGGGAAUGGGACGUCAGUGGAUGUCUUCCUGUACUUUGUUAUUGGCUGAACUGGCGGCAGCACCAGGCCACCAGCAUCAGUAUAUUGCCUUCGUCUCUUCUCUGUCUCUCCUUCCCUUUCUUCAUUCUCUUGUUCUGUGUCUGUGUGCUCUUUCAUUCGUGUGAUUUUAUUUGCUUCCCAAAGCAAUUCUACAGCUGCACCUAAUCAUCUCUGCAUAACAUAAUCUGCCUGUCAUUCUCACAGGUUCUUUGUAUCUAUUCUUCACCUUUCAGCUUUUUUCCUUCCCGAGCUAUCUAGGGUUUUGUUCCCUUUGGAUGCUUCUUUUACAAGAUCUUAUCCCGCCCUGCUUAGAGAGUAAGCUGAAAAUUCCCCUCAGAAAGUUAAAAGAAGGAAGAAGACAAUCAAAAUUCUCAGAAUUUUAUUGGAUAAAGCGGCGGGUCUUUUAGAUAACGAUUCUCGGGUCUGCGAUGUGCGGGUGACUUUUACCUUUGCGGAAAAGCUAUAAUAAUCAGGAACAGGGCCAACAACAGAGGCAUUUAUGGAUUUGAAUUCGCAUCAGAAUUAUCUGCCCCAGCAGCAUCAAUCCAAUUCAGGAUUGGCUCGGUUUCGCUCUGCGCCCAGCUCGCUUCUCGCUAAUUUCAGACAAGCUGCUGAAUCUGUUAAAUCCGAGAGACGAAUUUCGAGAUUCGCAAACAGCAGUAAUAGCACCGAUACGGCGUCGUCAAGCUUUCAAGAAGUCGAAUCCGAACACAAGCCCCCUAAAUCUCCAUCGGAGGCUGCUCUGAGCCGUAUGAAUUCCCAGCAAGGCUAUAGUGGCAGCGGGCUGCCACCUCACUAUCCAAGGCAUAGUUCUUCUUACAGUUCUUCCAUGGACACCUCCUUUGGACAGAUGGGUUCAAUUGGAAUGGAUCACGUAACUCAGCCGAAAAGCUUUGCUUCGCCUCUUCUUAGGCAAAGUAGCUCCCCUGCUGGUCUUUUCUCCAACAUCUCAUUUCCUAAUGCGUAUGGCUCCAACAAAGGGAUAAGAAACUAUGGCGGGAUGAACGGCAGUAGCAAUGAUGGACUUACUCCAUCUAUCAACAACGGAUUGAAGAAUCAGAUUGGCUUCUCAUCAAGAAGUAGCUCCCUAGGAGCCCUGUCCCACAUCUCUGAAAAUGAAUGUGAGGGUACUGGAGCAACGAGCCCAGAUGAUGGUAGAGUGGGAGCUAAUAACAGUGGCGAUACUCGGUAUUAUGGCCCUGGCUUUCCUUAUGCUUCUUGGAAUGAUACCUCAUAUGUGUCAGAAAAUCUCCCUGGUUUUAAAAGAGAUCAAACUGGCAAUGAAAAGGUGUACUCUGACGUUCAGAAUAUUGAGCCUGGAAGUCGGGUUAAUGUAUUAUCGCAUCACUUGAGUUUGCCAAAAACCCCAUCACAUAUGGCUGCUGUGGAGAAGUUUCUUCAAUUCCCAGAUUCUGUGCCUUGUAAAAUAAGAGCAAAGCGGGGCUGCGCCACUCAUCCACGAAGCAUAGCCGAAAGGGUCAGAAGAACUCGUAUCAGUGAGCGAAUGAAGAAGUUACAAGAUCUUGUCCCAAACAUGGACAAGCAAACGAACACGGCAGACAUGUUGGACUUGGCUGUUGUGUAUAUUAAAGAUCUUCAGAAACAAUUCAAGACUCUGAGUGAGAAACGGGCAAAUUGCAAAUGUACUAACGCGCGGAAAGCACAUGGAAAUUAAGAGGGUUCACUAACAUAUAAUGAACAAAGCUUGCAAAGAAGGGUUUUGUAUGCUGAAAAGGUGCUGCAUGAACGAAAUUAAUACACAGAUGGCCCACCAAAUAAUAAAGAAACGAAGAACUAGCGUCAGCGGAUAGAGCGUUGAUAUGGGGAGUUAAACAGGAGGAUAGCUAUUCAUAGAAGGGGUUACAAAUUGGAGCCUGCACACAGUUUCGUGGUUGACGGAGGAUGGGGACUCUUAGAGCACAAAACAAGUAAAAAUAUGGGCGCCCACCUUAUGGAUUUUGCCCAGACAGGAGUCAAGAAUCAGGACCCUCUUGUUGGCUUCAUGGGGUUCCACGCUCAACAAAACCCCUCCCGUUCGUUCUCUGUUAAAACAUUUAAACUAGACUUCAAAUUUAGAUUUAAUUUUUUUUUAUAAUAUAAUAUUGUACUCUCUCUUUCAUUU